AUACGUAGGUGACAAGCGUUAUCCGGAUUUACUGGGCGUAAAGGGCGUGUAGGCGGUCUUGCAAGUCAGAAGUGAAAUUCCUGAGCUCAACUCGGGCGCUGCUUCUGAAACUGCAGGACUUGAGUGCUGGAGGGGAUAGCGGAAUUCCUAGUGUAGCGGUAAAAUGCGCAGAUAUUAGGAAGAACACCGGUGGCGAAGGCGGCUAUCUGGACAGUAACUGACGCUGAGGCGCGAAAGCGUGGGGAGCAAACAGGAUUAGAUACCCUGGUAGUCCACGCCAUAAACGAUGAAUACUAGGUGUAGGGGGUAUCGACUCCCUCUGUGCCGCAGUUAACACAAUAAGUAUUCCGCCUGGGGAGUACGGCCGCAAGGUUGAAACUCAAAUGAAUUGACGGGG
rnacentral:rRNA from 1 species